CAUGACGCUGCAGCGCAGGAACCUGGCGCGUCAUCAGGCUCUGACGAUUUCGGAGGCAGAAGCGGCUCUACACGGGACGGACCAAGGCCUACAAUCGAAUACACCCGAGAGAAUGAAUGUUCUUAAAACACAAGAGUGAUUGUACCAUACAGAAUGCCCCUCGAUAUGUACCCACCUCUAAAAAUGCAGGUCUCCGCUGCUGCAUACACUUUUCGCAUUGGUUGGAUACAGAGAAAGUGGAUGGAGUGGAUGCACUUCCAAUAAGUCCACGAAAGUACUAAUGAUGGUUUUAUUAUUGAGCGAAAGAAAAGCCAAUAGUA